rnacentral:rRNA from 1 species
CCCACCCUCCAUAGCGCGGGGGAAACGCCCGGUAACAUUCCGAACCCGGAAGCUAAGCCCCGCAGCGCCGAUGAUACUUGGCGGGAAACCGCCCGGGAAAGUAGGUCGAGGGUGGGG